rnacentral:rRNA from 1 species
GAUGAACGCUAGCUACAGGCUUAACACAUGCAAGUCGAGGGGCAGCACAGUGUAGCAAUACAUGGGUGGCGACCGGCGCACGGGUGCGUAACGCGUAUCCAACCUUCCCGAUACUCUUGGAUAGCCUUCCGAAAGGGAGAUUAAUAGAAGAUGGUGUUUCAAUUCCGCAUGUUAUUGAAACUAAAGAUUUAUCGGUAUCGGAUGGGGAUGCGUGACAUUAGGUAGUAGGCGGGGUAACGGCCCACCUAGUCUACGAUGUCUAGGGGUUCUGAGAGGAAGGUCCCCCACACUGGAACUGAGACACGGUCCAGACUCCUACGGGAGGCAGCAGUGAGGAAUAUUGGUCAAUGGUCGGAAGACUGAACCAGCCAAGUAGCGUGAAGGAUGAAGGUUCUAUGGAUUGUAAACUUCUUUUAUACGGGAAUAAAACCUCCCACGUGUGGGAGCUUGUAUGUACCGUAUGAAUAAGCAUCGGCUAACUCCGUGCCAGCAGCCGCAGUAACAC